CAUGGUUUUUGUUCAGCUCGUGUUGUGAAAUGUUGGGUUAAGUCCCGCAACGAGCGCAACCCUUAUCUCAGUAGGCCAGCAGGUUAAGCUGGGCACUCUGGAGAGACUGCCAGGGAUAACCUGGAGGAAGGUGGGGAUGACGUCAAAUCAUCAUGCCCCUUAUGACCAGGGCUACACACGUGCUACAAUGGCGUAAACAAAGAGAAGCGAACUCGCGAGGGUAAGCAAAUCUCAAAAAUAACGUCUCAGUUCGGAUUGUAGUCUGCAACUCGACUACAUGAAGUCUGGAAUCGCUAGUAAUCGC
rnacentral:rRNA from 1 species